rnacentral:rRNA from 1 species
GCUACUAUGCCAGCUGGUGGAUUGCUCGGCUCAGGCGCUGAUGAAGGACGUGCCAAGCUGCGAUAAGCUGUGGGGAGCCGCACGGAGGCGAAGAACCACAGAUUUCCGAAUGAGAAUCUCUCUAACAAUUGCUUCGCGCAAUGAGGAACCCCGAGAACUGAAACAUCUCAGUAUCGGGAGGAACAGAAAACGCAACGUGAUGUCGUCAGUAACCGCGAGUGAACGCGAUACAGCCCAAACCGAAGCCCUCACGGGCAAUGUGGUGUCAGGGCUACCUCUCAUCAGCCGACCAUUUCGACGAAGUCUCUUGGAAUAGAGCGUGAUACAGGGUGACAACCCCGUAAUCGAAAUCAGUACGCUGUGCGGUAGUGCCAGAGUAGCGGGGGUUGGAUAUCCCUCGCGAAUAACGCAGGCAUCGACUGCGAAGGCUAAACACAACCUGAGACCGAUAGUGAACAAGUAGUGUGAACGAACGCUGCAAAGUACCCUCAGAAGGGAGGCGAAAUAGAGCAUGAAAUCAGUUGGCGAUCGAGCGACAGGGCAUACAAGGUCCCAUGACGAAUGACCGAGACGCGAGUCUCCAGUAAGACUCACGGGAAGCCGAUGUUCUGUCGUACGUUUUGAAAAACGAGCCAGGGAGUGUGUCUGUAUGGCAAGUCUAACCGGAGUAUCCGGGGAGGCACAGGGAAACCGACAUGGCCGCAGGGCUUUGCCCGAGGGCCGCCGUGUUCAAGCGCGGGGAGCCACACGGACACGACCCGAAUCCGGACGAUCUACGCAUGGACAAGAUGAAGCGUGCCGAAAGGCACGUGGAAGUCUGUUAGAGUUGGUGUCCUACAAUACCCUCUCGUGAUCUAUGUGUAGGGGUGAAAGGCCCAUCGAGUCCGGCAACAGCUGGUUCCAAUCGAAACAUGUCGAAGCAUGACCUCCGCCGAGGUAGUCUGUGAGGUAGAGCGACCGAUUGGUGUGUCCGCCUCCGAGAGGAGUCGGCACACCUGUCAAACUCCAAACUUACAGACGCCGUUUGACGCGGGGAUUCCGGUGCGCGGGGUAAGCCUGUGUACCAGGAGGGGAACAACCCAGAGAUAGGUUAAGGUCCCCAAGUGUGGAUUAAGUGUAAUCCUCUGAAGGUGGUCUCGAGCCCUAGACAGCCGGGAGGUGAGCUUAGAAGCAGCUACCCUCUAAGAAAAGCGUAACAGCUUACCGGCCGAGGUUUGAGGCGCCCAAAAUGAUCGGGACUCAAAUCCACCACCGAGACCUGUCCGUACCACUCAUACUGGUAAUCGAGUAGAUUGGCGCUCUUAUUGGAUGGAAGCGGGGGCGAGAGCUCCUGUGGACCGAUAAGUGACGAAAAUCCUGGCCAUAGUAGCAGCGAUAGUCGGGUGAGAACCCCGACGGCCUAAUGGAUAAGGGUUCCUCAGCACUGCUGAUCAGCUGAGGGUUAGCCGGUCCUAAGUCAUAC